AAACUUUAUAAAGAAAAAUUCUCCUGGGAUAGAACAUUCAGAUUCACGAAUGUCCGAAAAUCCUAAAUUUCCAAAUCUGUCACUCAAUUUAUGUUACGACUGCAAAAAACCAGCUAUAUACAAGUCUGACUGCUGCGAUAAAGCAUAUUUUUGUAAUCAUUUGUGUUUGCAUAAUGGUUUUGUCGAUCACUCCAAACAUUGCUCAAUAACUCCGAUACCGAGUCAAGAAGCCAGCAAAACAAUUGAAACAAAG